GCUUUCCUGGCUCAGUUGGUUAGAGCGUCAGUCUCAUAGAAAUAUGAGGAAUCACUGGAUUCUGUAAUCUGAAGGUCGUGAGUUCGACCCUCACGGAGAGCA